rfam:Pseudomonas sp. ABAC61 scaffold18_001, whole genome shotgun sequence.
CCGAGGCGCGGGCUUCAACCCGCGUCCUGGCUCUAACCUGAGCAGCAGCUCACAAAGUGGCUGCUCUAUAUUUUUGAAGAAAUGAGACAAGCAGGGGCAUCCGGGCUGGUACCCGGACUAUCAGCGUGAUCCUAGGUGGCUUGUUUUGGUCGCUGCAUUCGGACUUCUGCAAGCUUGCUCGGUGUCGUCGCCGGUGGUGUUCCCCUAACCGAGGGUGACCA